GACGAACGCUGGCGGCGUGCUUAACACAUGCAAGUCGAACGGAAAGGCCCUGCUUUUGUGGGGUGCUCGAGUGGCGAACGGGUGAGUAACACGUGAGUAACCUGCCCUUGACUUUGGGAUAACUUCAGGAAACUGGGGCUAAUACCGGAUAGGAGCUCCUGCUGCAUGGUGGGGGUUGGAAAGUUUCGGCGGUUGGGGAUGGACUCGCGGCUUAUCAGCUUGUUGGUGGGGUAGUGGCUUACCAAGGCUUUGACGGGUAGCCGGCCUGAGAGGGUGACCGGCCACAUUGGGACUGAGAUACGGCCCAGCCUCCUACGGGAGGCAGCAGUGGGGAGUAUUGCACAAUGGGCGGAAGCCUGAUGCAGCAACGCCGCGUGCGGGAUGACGGCCUUCGGGUUGUAAACCGCUUUCGCCUGUGACGAAGCGUGAGUGACGGUAAUGGGUAAAGAAGCACCGGCUAACUACGUG
rnacentral:rRNA from 1 species